UAGGGAAUCUUCGGCAAUGGGGGCAACCCUGACCGAGCAACGCCGCGUGAGUGAAGAAGGUUUUCGGAUCGUAAAGCUCUGUUGUAAGUCAAGAACGGGUGUGAGAGUGGAAAGUUCACACUGUGACGGUAGCUUACCAGAAAGGGACGGCUAACUACGUGCCAGCAGCCGCGGUAAUACGUAGGUCCCGAGCGUUGUCCGGAUUUAUUGGGCGUAAAGCGAGCGCAGGCGGUUUGAUAAGUCUGAAGUUAAAGGCUGUGGCUCAACCAUAGUUCGCUUUGGAAACUGUCAAACUUGAGUGCAGAAGGGGAGAGUGGAAUUCCAUGUGUAGCGGUGAAAUGCUUCGCUAUCUGGAGGAACACCGGUGGCGAAAGCGGCUCUCUGGUCUGUAACUGACGCUGAGGCUCGAAAGCGUGGGGAGCGAACAGG
rnacentral:rRNA from 1 species